ACAUUUCAAAAUUAAGUAUGCUCUAGAGUUAGCUUGAUGGAUGACGUUAAAAAUAUGUUUUUUAUAAUUAAGGUUACAGUCCAUCGUUACUCCUAGAUCUUUUGGGUUUGAAGACCAAGCCAAAGAAUGUUCACCUAAUUUAUAGUUAACCUAUAUACUUUUGCAUGAGAGAGAUGCUAUUCUAAGUGCAGAAUACUUACUACAAGCAAUUGUUAGUUGCCAAGUUUCUGCCCAUUGUACAAGUCUAUUUAAAGCAACAACUAAAUCUUGGCUUAGAUUCAUAUCACGGUAUAAACUAUAUAAAUUUAUAUCAUACACGUAAAGUUUUACACAAUAGUCCAGAUUAUUAGUUAUAGCGGUUAAAUCAUUAACAUAUAAUAAAAACAAUGUCGGACCUAACACACUACCCUGUGGAACUCCGCUAACAAUGCGUAUAGAGUUUGAUAUAGGAUUACCGAACUUGACUUGCUGAUAUCUAUUUGUGAGAAAAGCAGAAAUCCAUUUUAAAAAAUUACCUUUUAUGUUAUAGGAUGCAAGUUUUACUAAUAGUUUGGUAUGCGAGACAGAGUCAAAAGCUCUUUGGAAAUCAAUAUAGACAACAUCCGUUAUUUAAUGGUUAUCGAGUGCGGUGUUCCAAUCAUUAGCAGAUUCUAAAAGAUUUGUACUGGUUGAACGUUUGUUGAGGAAACCAUGUUGAUUAAGAGAUUAAAUUAUGAUGACCUAGAUACUUUAUGACAUACACAUUGAUCAUUCUUUCCAUGACUCGACAACAAGUGCAUGUCAGUGAGAUGGGUCUAUAAUUAUUUGGAUCCGCAGUAGCUCCUUUUUUAAAAACUGAAGAUACAAAAGCUUGGCGCCAUUGUUUAGGUAAAGAACUUGACUUAAAACUGGAAUCAAAUAUAAAUAAGAGUGGAACACACAAUAGAUGAGCUAAUUUUUUCAGGAGUAUGUUAGGUAUGCCGUCAAGACCGUAUGAUGUGCUGGCUUUAAUUUCCUUCGAAGAUUUCUGGUGAAAAUACACUGUAGAUCCAAAAGGUUCUUUGCGGUUCUUUGAAGAACCUAAAGGUUCUUGGAGAAAUUUUAAGGUUCUUUAAAGAACCUAUGGGUUCUUUAUAUUCUCUAAUGGUUCUCUGAAGAACUGGCGGCUUAUUUACAAAGCAAUACAAAGAACCCACAAGGUUCUUCAAAUCGUUUUACGAAAAAAUUCAAAGAACCUUAAUUUAGGGUUCUUUAAAUCUUUUGUAAACGCCAUUUUAUUUUUAUAAUCAGUCGUUAUAUAGGUAGACUAGUAUGAAAUUAUAAAGAAUGGUAUAACAAUAACAAAUGAUUAUCAUGACAGUAUUUAAUUUGUGCCUUAAACAUUUGAGUUGUUUUUGUUACCGUUGUUAACAUCAACAACGAUUAUAAUAGCAAUGUGUUUUUUUUUUCUUUUUUCGAGCAUUUUUCUUAUUCCUAUAUGCUUUUAUUAUGCAUAUUAUAAAUUGAUAUAUCAUUGUAUAUUGCGCAUGGUUUUGUUUAGAUAAAUAAAUAUAUCAUUUGUUCAAAAUUAAAAAAUGGCAGAUUAUUUAACUGGAGUGUAGAAGAUGUUUGCGUAUACUUAGAACUUAAAGGACUCCCAGAACUUAGACAAAAAAGUUGGUUUGUGUUGAUUUAUGAUUAACAACAGAAAAUAAAAAACUUCAACAAAUGUUAGUUUUUUACACAUAAAAGUUAUGAAAAAUCUCCUAUGAAAUGGUUCAUCUAAACAUAAUACUUUGCAGGAUGCCUGUUAAAAAGAAAAACUGAAGAAACUAUUAAAAAUAAAUGAUGACAACUGAAGAAGUUAAAACACCAUUAUUCAUAGUGGCUUUUCAUCGAGGCUUCAAUUCUCCAGUAUUUAUUUUUUGUAAAAGUGGAUGAAAGCACUAAAGCGUAACGAUAAACUUUAAAGCAGAAUUUUGUCAUGCGAUUAUGGUGGCGAUAUGAGGGAACUAAUGUGGCGCAAUAUAUUACUAUUGUAGAACAGUUUUGCAUCAAAUCAUUGUAUAAUAUUAGUUUUUUUGUUGUUUAAAAAUAUUAUGAAA
rnacentral:lncRNA from 1 species